AACGAACGCUGGCGGCAUGCCUAACACAUGCAAGUCGAACGAGACCUUCGGGUCUAGUGGCGCACGGGUGCGUAACGCGUGGGAACCUGCCCUUAGGUUCGGAAUAACUCCCCGAAAGGGGUGCUAAUACCGGAUAAUGUCUUCGGACCAAAGAUUUAUCGCCUUUGGAUGGGCCCGCGUUGGAUUAGCUAGUUGGUAGGGUAAAAGCCUACCAAGGCGACGAUCCAUAGCUGGUCUGAGAGGAUGAUCAGCCACACUGGGACUGAGACACGGCCCAGACUACUGCUGGAGGCAGCAGUGUGGACUAUUGGACGAUGGGCGAAAGCCUGAUCCAGAAAUGUCGCGUGAAUGAUAAAGACCUUAGGGUUGUAAAACUCUUUGACCAGGGCUGAAAAUGCCAGUGACGGGAUGAUGAGAUCAGUCUAACCCCGUG
rnacentral:rRNA from 1 species